AAGUCGUAACAAGGUUUCCGUAGGUGAACCUGCGGAAGGAUCAUUAAUGAUUUGGCGAACCGAGCGUUAGCGAGGUUUUGCGAUCAACUUGUAUUUAAAACCCAACUCUAUAUAAUAUUUAUACAUAAUUUUUAAUGAUAAAAUUAAAGAUCACUUUCAACAACGGAUCUCUUGGCUCUC
rnacentral:misc_RNA from 1 species